GAUGGUGGGGAGCAGGGGUCGCACAAAGAGCCUGAUGCAUUCUGGGCAAAUGUUCCACUCCUGGGUUGAGAGCCAAUGUUGCAGCUUUGUAUCAUGAGAGACAAACUGCCGGAUACAGCAGGAGGUGCAGGAGGGUGCCAGGCAGCACCAGAGGGGAGAAGCAGAUGGCAGAGAGUUCAUGAGAUGCCUCAGCCUCGAAGGUUGUGAAAUCCACACUGUGGAAGUUCACGUUGUCACGCGCUGGUGACAACCAGAAAACACGAUCAUAAGUUCCGAUCUACGCUACGAAUUUGGAGCAGAGAGGGACAAGGCCAGUUGUCAUGAAUGUCACUGUGCUGGCAUAGACAACAGGGAAAAGGACUGGCAUUGAAGUUGGCUGUCCAGCAGCUCCAGGGUGUCUCCGCCUUAACUCUCCCAGACUCACUUUGGGUGCCACGGUGCCCCAGGCCAGGGGAAGAAUGACCUUGGGUUUCAACCGGCUGAGGCCUUCCCAUCAUUAUUGAGAACCUCACUCGGCACUGAGAUCUUCUACACCCAGCCCUGCUCAGCACCCACUGGCCAGCUGGCCAUCCCCUGGAACUGCCACCCACCCAUCCCCUGCCAGGUAAGUGUUUGCUUUCUUCCUACGAUGUGCAAGGGCAGUCUCCUGUUGCCACCACUCUGGGGCUGUGCGAGUGCUUUCCCAAGCUGCCCUUCCCCACAGGAGAAGGUGAGCAUCAUCCUCUGAUGGCCAGGUCCUACAUCCCAGCAUCUAUAUCUCAGACAGCAAGGGCCCUCUCCAGCACUGCGCAAUUUCCUCCUUGCAGGUAACGUCAUCCCCUGGGGAAGUUCCUCUGACUCCUCCAGCGCCAACCAGGGCCCCUUUCAUCAGGAAUCCCUGUCUCCCUAGCAGUCCCAGGACCCACGCUGAGGGCUGUAGGAUUUGAGUCUUCCUAUUGUCCAGUGGCUGAUAAAGGAGAUGGGGGCUCUUGCACAGCUGAUGGGAUGACAGACACGCUCGCUCACAAUUUCCUGCGGAGGGCCUGGCGUGAUGAGGCCAUUCUAGAAACAGAAAGAAAGACUUCCCAGAAGACAUCAGUGGGAAAUUGAAAGGGGCUUAAGGGGAAAAGGAAGUACCAAGAGUGGUCAGUGGCAGCUGUGACAGGGGAGAGGGACUGUCUCCAAGGAGGGUGGCUGCCUGCUGAGGACCAAGAUGUUAACAGGAACAGCGGAGGCACUAGGCCUGGGAGGAAUGUGGUCUGCACACCUUGGGGGGCUCACUCUCUUUAAGUUCCUUGAUUUGGGGCUGGUAUCUAAAGCAUUCGCCACACCCUUAUCACUGUGGACGCGUCAGACGUUAGACAAGUCCCCUUCUGAGGCUGUCCUGGAUUGGAGCAUUUGGCCACCACAUCUCUAAGUUCCUGUAGAUGCCAGCAGCGCCCUGCCCCCACUCGUGACAACCAAAAGUGGCUCUGGAGGGAGGAUCUCCCACUAGUGAAAGCUUGGGCUCUCAAUCUAAUUAAGCCUCACUGUCAACACGGGACCAUAAUGACGGCAAUGCGGCAGUGGAUGGCAGCCGUGAGGACUGGCCUACUUCGGAGCACAUUUCUCGAACAUUAGCACUUGUGUGCUAAUGGCUGUUUAUGCUUCAUGCAUCAGCUGGUCCAGUCCCAUAGCCCAUCCUACAUGUGCAACGCCAGCACCACCACUACCACACUUAACCUCGUGAGGAGGCUGUCUCCAGAUCUGAGUUUGACCAGCAGCUCCCAAGGGCUUACAGGAGGCAGAGAGGAGCAGCGCCUGUGGGAGCUGCCUAGUUUUGAGGGUGCUUGGUCAGUGGUGGAGGGGAAGGAGAGGAAGGGGGAAUGGGGAUAUUUGCCUCCUCUCCGGAGUGAUGGUUCAGCAGUUAAGAGCACUGACUGCUCUUCCAGAGGUCCCAAGUUCAAUUCCCAGCACCCACAUGGUGGCUCACAGCCAUCUACAGCUGUAGUCCUAUGGGAUCUGAUACUCUCUUCUGAUAUGCAGGUGUAUAUGCAGAUAAAACUUCCAUAUACAUAAAAUAAGUAAAUUGCAUUGUGGGUUGGGAGUACGGAAGAAAUGAUGCAGUUGUUAAAGUGGAUUCAAUUCCUAUCACCCACAUGGCAGCUCACAAUACUCCAGUUCCGGGGGAUCUGACACCUUCGCGUAGGCAUACAUGCAGGCAAAACACCAAUAAACAUAAAAAUAAAUCUUUAAAAAAAUGCUUGCCUGUUCUUGCACACAUGUGUACAUGCAUGUGUGUAUGAGCCUUGUGCAUCUGUGCAUGUGCAGUAUGAGGAUUUGUGUGUGCAUC